CCUACGGGCGGCUGCAGUGGGGAAUCUUGCGCAAUGGGCGAAAGCGUGACGCAGCAACGCCGCGUGGGGGAAGAAGGCUUUCGGGUCGUAAACCCCUUUCAGUUGGGACGAAGCUUCGCCGGUGAAUAGCCGGCCGGAGUGACGGUACCUUCACAAGAAGCCCCGGCUAACUACGUGCCAGCAGCCGCGGUAAUACGUAGGGGGCAAGCGUUGUCCGGAAUCAUUGGGCGUAAAGCGCGUGUAGGCGGCUUGAUAAGUCUGUUGUGAAAGUCCAGGGCUCAACCCUGGAAUGCCGAUGGAUACUGUCAAGCUCGAGUCCGGAAGAGGCGAGUGGAAUUCCUGGUGUAGCGGUGAAAUGCGCAGAUAUCAGGAGGAACACCAAUGGCGAAGGCAGCUCGCUGGGACGGUACUGACGCUGAGACGCGAAAGCGUGGGGAGCAAACAGGCUUAGAUACCCCGGUAGUC
rnacentral:rRNA from 1 species